rnacentral:misc_RNA from 1 species
GACGUAAAUUCGGCGAUGAUUCUCAAGAGCAGUGGGGUUUUUCUUCAACCUUUUGGCCAAUGCAGAUAGAAAAUCAGCCAUGAAAACCCAGCCAAAGGAUGGCCCAUUGCCGAUGGUCACACGGUUCACAUUCACCAUCACAGCUUUCUCCUUUUUGACAAGCAAAGAGUACCCAACAGAGCUGUAAUCAUUGAAAAUAGGCCCAACGAAGACAUAAGCAUCAGCUGAUUCAACUAUCUCUCCACAGAAGCUGGUGCUGACAGCGCCCCAAUACGUCCCUAUGAACUGUGGAUGAUGCU